UACCAGGCCAGCCACAGCAAGAGAGGAGCCCUGCUCCCAGUGCAGCCCCCGACUCCUCCAAGCCCUCCAGCCAGCCACCGCAGGAGAGGAGCCCUGCUCCCAGCGCAGCCCCCGAGCCAGCCUCCAAGGCGUCGCCCUCCAGCCCCAGUGCCAGGAGCCGUGUGGACCUCGCAGAGCCAGAAGCCGCCGCAGCUGCCCGUGAGGGGAGCUGGGACCGCAGCCACCGCUCACACCACAGCCAGCGCCCAGGGCAAGAGGCAGGGCCGGCACAGGGUCGGCAGGAGGAUCCUCUGGUUCCUACUGAGGGCGUGCUGCAUCCUGCCGUCCCGAGGGAGCAGCCCUGGUCACUGCUGCCACAGAGCGGCCCCCAAGUAGCCUCGCUCCGCCCCCCCCCCUUCACCAGGAGCAAUGCACAGGCUGAGCUCACUGAAUGUUUUUCUUUUCUUAAGCAUUUGCAAAUGCUUCUCAUGAAUAAAAUUCAACUUCCUGUGUGGCUUUGGUCCCGUGUGAUGUUUGGGUCCCUGUGUGCACCAUGGGGAGGUGAUGGAGGUAUGGGCGGUAUUGUCUUUCUCAUGGAAAGACAAACACUGGGCGAUCACCCCGUGUGGGGGUCACAGAAGGGGUGACCUCGUAGAAGUAGAGCACAGAGUGACGCCUCCCAGAGGCUGGGUGGGAGAGAGGGAGGGAGGGGAGUCACUCGUCCACAUGGCACAGGCCCACGAGGGUCGGGGUCUGAGGUCUCUGGCACAGCAGGGAGGUCCCAGUCCACAGAGCUGAGCAUUGCAACAGAGCUGUCAGUGUCCUAUCCAACACCUCCUGUGUCGUCAAGGGAGAACACGACCCCAUUCUCCUGAGGGCCAUGCACCUGGCCUCAUGGGGUCUGGGAUCUACCAGCUCUGCAGUCCAACAGCUGCAGGUGGAGCCAGGCAGGACGUCCACACUGCUGUGUGCCCGACCUGCCCAAGGUGAGGCCCACAUGUAGCAGAGGACGCAGGCAGGACGAGACCUGGUUGUUAGUUCAGGAGGCCCCUGGCAGCGAAGUGUCCCCAGCACCUACACCUGACACCUGGGAAGGUCUCAGGCCUUCGGUAAAUGCCUUUAGCAGGGUUUAAUUUCAGGCAUCACAAAGACAGCAUGCUCUUCACAAUAACUCUUAAUCAAAGCCACACAUAUAAAACGGUUCCUGCUUUUCCCAUCAAAAACUGUUGAAUGUCCUUUAAAUUUGCUCGGUGGGAUUCAUCUUUUAAUCUGCCCCCAGGAUAACUUCCCUAGUCCUUUCUGGUUAUCAUAAAGUCCUCAAGUCAUUGGAAAUUGCGACACACAGUCCUGAUUGACACAUUAGAAGAUCUGGCUCCACAUGGUAAUCAGCGCUUCAUCUCUUUUUUAUUUAUUUAAUGAAUGCAUUUUUGCAUAGACACAACUUUAGGAAUACAGUGUCUCUUUCCCCCAUGCCCCUCACCCCACUCCCAUCCCAUAUCCCCUUCCCUCUCCCAUCUCUUUCCUUAUGGAUCAUUUUUAGUAUGACUUUAUAUACAGAGGACCAACUCCAUGCUAAUCAUAGAUUUCAAUAAUUUGCCCCCACACCCACACACAACUUAUAGAGUACAGUUUGGGGAGAGGAUUUGCAGUCGCUUCUCAUAUUGCAAUUCAAUAGGGACAGAGGUCUUACCUGGGGAGCAAGUGCACAGUGACUACCAUUGUUCCUGUAACAAUUAACACUCUUUUUUAUGACGUCAGUGAUCAUCCGAGGCUCUUGUCGUGGGAUACCAGGGCUAUGGAGGCCUUUUGUGACCACAGACUCCGUCGUUAUUUGGACAUGGCCAUAAGCAAAGAGGAUGUUCUCCUCCCUUCAGAGAAGAGUGUCUCCUUCUUUGAUGACCCUUCCUUUCCUCUGAGGUCUCGCAGAGAUUCUCCGUGUAGGAUUUUUUUUUCCACAGAGUCUUGUCUUUCCAUGCCCGAGAUGCUCUUGCAGGCCUUUCAGCCUGACCAGGAAGCCUUAUGGGUUGAUUCUGAGGUCAGAGUCAGCACUUCAUCUUAAUUUGAAAAUAAAAUUUACCCUCUCCUCUGCCA
rnacentral:lncRNA from 1 species